rnacentral:lncRNA from 1 species
AACAAGAAACCCAAAAAGCAUCCCAUUAAAACAAGUUUCUGCCAAUGUACACCGCACAUGCCACCUCCAAAAAUAUACAAAUAUAUACUGAUGCAUUAAUUCAUUUAAGCCUACAUAUUAACAAUAUAGUUUUUCUAUUUAAAUCCCACAUUUCUCUUUCUUCACUUUAUAUUCUAAGUUCACUCCAACUUCUAAUUUAAAUUUCCACAGUUUCUAAAAAAACCCCACUAUCUUCCCAAACUACCCCUAAAUUAAUACACACCUAACAUAAAAAAAAAAAUUAUAAAAAACUCAUCAACCUCGCACCCCACACCCCGCUAUCUU